rnacentral:rRNA from 1 species
AACGGCCGUACCAUGCUGAAUAUACCGGUUCUCGUUAGAUCACCGAAGUUAAGCAUCAUUGGGCGCCGUCAGUACUUGGGGGUGGGUGACCACCUGGGAACACCGCGUGCCGUU